rnacentral:rRNA from 1 species
CUACGGGUCGCAGCAGUGAGGAAUAUUGCACAAUGGGGGGAACCCUGAUGCAGCAACGCCGCGUGGAGGAUGACGCAUUUCGGUGUGUAAACUCCUUUUAUAUGUCAAGAAAAUGACGGUAGCAUAUGAAUAAGCACCGGCUAACUCCGUGCCAGCAGCCGCGGUAAUACGGAGGGUGCAAGCGUUACUCGGAAUCACUGGGCGUAAAGGACGCGUAGGCGGGUUGGAAAGUCAGGUGUGAAAUCCUACAGCUUAACUGUAGAACCGCACUUGAAACUUCUAAUCUAGAGUAUGGGAGGGGGAGAUGGAAUUAGUGGUGUAGGGGUAAAAUCCGUAGAUAUCACUAGGAAUACCUAAAGCGAAGGCGAUCUCCUGGAACAUUACCGACGCUAAGGCAUGAAAGCGUGGGGAGCAAACAGGAUUAGAUACCCUCGUAGUC